ACAUUUAUUUGUCUGACUGCUUAGAAUAUGACAGCAUAGUGGGCAGGAACAGUUAUACAAGAUGGACUACUGGACAGCACUGCUACUGUUAACUGUCUGCUGGGCAGGUGUUGAUGGUCAGACUCUGACACAAUCUGAACCGACAGUUAAAAGACCAGGAGAAUCCCACAGACUGACCUGUACAGCAUCUGGAUAUACCUUUGGAAGCUACAGCCUGGUCUGGGUCAGACAGGCUCCUGGAAAAGGACUGGAGUGGAUUGCUUACAUAUUUUGGAGUGAUGGCAGCACUUCCUAUUCUCAGUCAGUUCAAGGCCGGUUUACCAUCUCCAAGGACAACAGCAAACAGCAGCUGUAUCUGCAGAUGAACAGUCUGAAGACUGAAGAUUCUGCUGUUUAUUAUUGUGCUCGAAAUCCACAGUGACUGAAGUUGUUUAAGCAGCUGUACAAAAUCCUGCAGUCCUCAUUAUGCAUCAUAAUUGUAGUAUAAUGAAAACAUUAUCCAUACUAAUACAAUUAAACCUAA